rnacentral:tRNA from 1 species
AAUUAAUGAACUUGAUUUAAAAGUAUGUAUUUUGAAAAUACAAGAAAGAAAAUUUUAAUUUCUAUUAAUUU